UGCAAGUCGGACGGCAGCGCGGGGAGUUUGCUCCCUGGCGGCGAGUGGCGGACGGGUGAGUAAUACGUAGGAAUCUACCUUGUAGUGGGGGAUAACCUGGGGAAACUCGGGCUAAUACCGCAUGACAGAAGACAGAAGACAGAAGACAGAAGACAGGUAAUUGUGUGAUUGCGCCAUACAUUUUGAAAAUUUGUCGCGAAGCGACACAAUGAUCUGUCUUCAGUCCUCUGCCUUCUGUCUUCUGAAAGCGGGGGAUCUUCGGACCUCGUGCUAUGAGAUGAGCCUACGUCGGAUUAGCUUGUUGGUGGGGUAAUGGCCUACCAAGGCGACGAUCCGUAGCUGGUCUGAGAGGACGAUCAGCCACACUGGGACUGAGACACGGCCCAGACUCCUACGGGAGGCAGCAGUGGGGAAUAUUGGACAAUGGGGGAAACCCUGAUCCAGCAAUGCCGCGUGUGUGAAGAAGCUUUCGGGUUGUAAAGCACUUUCGGUGGGGAAGAAAGUCUCAAGGGUAAUAUCCUUGGGCGUUGACGUUACCCACAGAAGAAGCACUGGCUAACUCUGUGCCAGCAGCCGCGGUAAUACAGAGAGUGCAAGCGUUAAUCGGAAUCACUGGGCGUAAAGCGCGCGUAGGUGGAUGUUUAAGUCGGAUGUGAAAGCCCCUAGGCUUAACCUGGGAAUUGCACCCGAUACUGAGUAUCUUGAGUAUGGUAGAGGGAAGUGGAAUUUCCGGUGUAGCGGUGAAAUGCGUAGAUAUCGGAAAGAACACCAGUGGCGAAGGCGACUUCCUGGACCAAUACUGACACUGAGGCGCGAAAGCGUGGGGAGCAAACAGGAUUAGAGACCCUGGUAGUCCACGCCGUCAACGAUGAGAACUAGCUGUUGGGAAGUUCACUUCUUAGUAGCGAAGCUAACGCGUUAAGUUCUCCCGCCUGGGGAGUACGGCCGCAAGGUUAAAACUCAAAGAAAUUGACGGGGGCCCGCACAAGCGGUGGAGCAUGUGGUUUAAUUCGAUGCAACGCGAAAAACCUUACCUACCCUUGACAUCCUCGGAACUUGUCAGAGAUGACUUGGUGCCUUCGGGAAUCGAGUGACAGGUGCUGCAUGGCUGUCGUCAGUUCGUGUCGUGAGAUGUUGGGUUAAGUCCCGUAACGAGCGCAACCCUCGUCCUUAGUUGCCAGCGAGUUAAGUCGGGAACUCUAAGGAGACUGCCGGUGAUAAACCGGAGGAAGGUGGGGAUGAUGUCAAGUCAUCAUGGCCCUUACGGGUAGGGCUACACACGUGCUACAAUGGGCAGUACAAAGGGUUGCCAAGCCGUGAGGUGGAGCUAAUCCCAGAAAACUGCUCGUAGUCCGGAUUGGAGUCUGCAACUCGACUCCAUGAAGUUGGAAUCGCUAGUAAUCGCGAAUCAGCAUGUCGCGGUGAAUACGUUGUCGGGCAUUGUACACACCGCCCGUC
rnacentral:rRNA from 1 species